UAGAGAAUCUUCGGCAAUGGACGAAAGUCUGACCGAGCAACGCCGCGUGAGUGAAGAAGGUUUUCGGAUCGUAAAACUCUGUUGUUAGAGAAGAACAAGGACGUUAGUAACUGAACGUCCCCUGACGGUAUCUAACCAGAAAGCCACGGCUAACUACGUGCCAGCAGCCGCGGUAAUACGUAGGUGGCAAGCGUUGUCCGGAUUUAUUGGGCGUAAAGCGAGCGCAGGCGGUUUCUUAAGUCUGAUGUGAAAGCCCCCGGCUCAACCGGGGAGGGUCAUUGGAAACUGGGAGACUUGAGUGCAGAAGAGGAGAGUGGAAUUCCAUGUGUAGCGGUGAAAUGCGUAGAUAUAUGGAGGAACACCAGUGGCGAAGGCGGCUCUCUGGUCUGUAACUGACGCUGAGGCUCGAAAGCGUGGGGAGCAAACAGG
rnacentral:rRNA from 2 species